ensembl:lncRNA
CGGCCAACAAGGAGACAGAUUUAUAGAAUUUUGCUUGGUUCUUUGGAGCACGGCUGACGACGUGAGGCAGGCAGCGCUCAGAGCAGUGAGAUAAUUGUCAGCGGAAUGUGCUCAGUACUGGGUUAGGGGGCUGCCAUGGGAGUCACUACGUGGAUCAGUCAAAAUAUAUCACUGCAGGCAGUCAGGCAGGCAGGAAGUCAGUCAGGCAGGCACAGCGCUGAGGAGAAAUGCCACAGGGAUGGCAUCCCAGGUGACGCAGUGCCUCCCAGGUGACGCAGUGCCUCCCAGGUGACGCAGUGCCUCCCAGGUGACGCAGUGCCUCCCAGGUGACGCAGUGCCUCCCAGGUGACGCAGUGCCUCCCAGGUGACGCAGUGCCUCCCAGGUGACGCAGUGCUCUAAGGCGUUCUUUUGAAGCACCAAGCUGACUACCACAGUCUAGGUUCAAGCCUAGACUUUGCCGCUAGCUUACAAGUGGCAGGGAAACACAAAUUCAUCUGUACUGCCCGGGGAGCCUGGGAUACAUAAUCAGCAUGGACUUCCUGAUCUCAUCAUUCUCGAGCGUGGACUACAUGGGAAAAGCAUUCUGGGAAAGUUCUGAAUGACUUUGCAUGCAUACUUAUAAGGAAAGGUUUCCACAAUUCUCAACUCUCCUGAAUUAAAUAUCAUAUAGACGCAUAAACACACUUGAUAAUCAAAUGCACGUAAAAAAGAGAGGGCCUAGAGUUAUUCAUUGACAGAGAAGUGUUUUAUUACAAUAUUUACUCUAGAUAUCUGAGUAUAUCUAGGGAGAUUAUACCUUUCCCUUAGUUGAUGAACGGAAAUAAAUUAUCUUCUAGGUUGGAAAGGACAAUGGAAGGUCUUUGUUCUGUCUGCAGCAGAACUGAUAGUGUUCUAAGGCCAAAGUUCACCUUAAUUUGCCUCCAAAUAUGCCGUGACUCAGUAAAGCGGAUUGCACAAUAUAUUUCUCACAUUAUCUUGUCUACUGGUCAUACCGGUCAGUGGAUGUACUCUAUAAAUCCCCAUUCAUCACAUUGAUGCAUGUAGACAUCAAGAUAUGAUUGUUUUAUCUGAUGGCUGAGAUAUAGACAACAUCAUGACAUCUGUCGUACAGUAACUUAAUGUGGCAGGCGUUCAAAGAAACGCUGGAAACAACAUUGCCCAAAUAAUGAUCUUGACAAGAAGGGGAAAAAAUGAUAGGAUGUUAAAUAAAUGAAUUGAAUGUGGAGGAGGAGUUCAAAUUGAAUGCAGCCUCUGUGAGCAGUUUGGUAACACUGACAGACUUUGAUCAGGGCUGGUGAACAUAAUGAGCCAG